GGCCGCCUGGCGAAAUGGCAUCGCGUCUGACUACGAUUCUAGUUAAUCGCGCAUCAGGAGACUGCAGGUUCGACCCCUGCGGUGGUCA
rfam:Jaapia argillacea MTCL 33604 unplaced genomic scaffold JAAARscaffold_1, whole genome shotgun sequence.